AAAUAUAACCUGAAGUAAGCAAGAGUACCCGCUGAACUUAAGCAUAUCACUAAGCGGAGGAAAAGAAAUUAACAAAGAUUACCUUAGUAAGGGCGACUGAACAGGUAAUAGCCCAACAUUAAAAUCUCUGUUCGAACGAACAGCGAAUUGUAAUCUAUAGACGCACAUUUGGAGGAGUCCUGAUCGCAUAAGUCCCAUGGAACGGGGCAACAAAGAGGGUGAAAUUCCCGUAUUUGGCGAAAGGGAUGAGUCAACAAAGUGCGUCAUCGAGUCGAGCUUCUUGGGAUUGAAGCUCAAAUAGGGAGAUAAACUUCUUCCAAGGCUAAAUAUGAAUGGGAAACCGAUAGCAAACAAGUACCGUGAGGGAAAGAUGAAAAGAACUUUGAAAAAAGAGUUAAAAGACUUGAAACCGUUGAGAAGGAAGCGAUAGAAGUUGGGUAAUCGCAUAGCAAAAGGUCUCCUGGUCUGGUUACUGUGGUCUUGCGACGCAGUGGCUGGACAACAGGGAGAUACUUGGUUGUGUGAAAGACAAGAUGAGUUUUGGUAACAAGUAUAUAAUAAAUGUUACGCAAGACUGAGGAUUGAUUUUGUCAAAACGACUUUUACCGACCCGUCUUGAAACACGGACCAAGGAGUUUUACUACAGUGCGAGUCUACAAGUGGAAAACUUAUAGGCGGAUUGAAAGAGAAUUUAGGGUACCAAGGAGCAAUCCGGCAGUAUCGACCUUCAACUGGUUUCUAUCAGUUGCAUGAGUAAGAGCAUUGUGGUUAAGACCCGAAAGAUGGUGAACUAUACUUGAGUAGAGUGAAGUCAAUGGAAACUCUGAUGGAAGCUCAAAGCGGUACUGACGUGCAAAUCGUUCGUGUAACUUGAGUAUAGGGGCGAAAAACCAAUCGAACCAUCUACUAGCUGGUUCCUUCUGAAGUUUCUCUCAGGAUAGCUGAAACGAUUAUACAGUUUUAUCAGGUAAAGCUAAUGAUUAGUGGAUUGGGGGAAUAAAAUUCCUCCACCAAUUCUCAAACUUUAAAUUGGUAAGAGGCUUGAGUUUGCUUAAAUGAACUCGAGCAUGGAAUGUACGUUUUUAGUGGGCCAUUUUUGGUAAGCAGAACUGGCGAUGAGGGAUGCUCCUAAAGCUGAGUUAAGGUGCCCAAGUUACAAUCAUCAGAUACCAUAAAAGGAGUUGGUUUGUUUAGACAGCAGGAUGGUGGCCCUGAGAGCAGGCAUCCAUUAAAAAGUGCUUUCCGCUUACCUGCCGAACGAAUCAGCCCUGAAAAUGGAUGGCGCUAUAUUGUAACACCGAGACUCGGCCAUUGUCGCUAAUCUAUGCGUCAAUGUGUAAGAAGGCGUGUGGCUAGUGUAGAAGCUAAGGUGUGAACCUAAGUGGAACUGGUCAUAGUGCAGAUCUUGGUGGUAGUAGCAACUAUUCAAAUGAGAACUUUGAAGGCCGAAGUGGAGAAGGGUUCCAUGUGAACAGCAAUUGAUCAUGGGUUACUCGAUCCUAAGACACAGCGGAAACGCCUUGAAAGAAGAGUUAAUCUUCGAGUCAAAAGGGAAUGAGGUUAAUAUUCCUCAAGCUAGCCGUGUAGUAGUAUGGUAACAUAUACAAUCUCGGAGACGCCAGUAUGUACCUCCGGAAGAGUUUUCUUUUCUUCUUAACCAGCUCAAGCCACGGAAUUGAUUUAAUCAGAGAGGUGGCCCAAUGCUGGGUAGAGCAGAGCCCUAGGCUUUGUCGGAUGCGUUCAUAAUGGCCCUUGAAAAUCCGGGUGAGAGACUUAAAUACACGCUAGGUCGUACCAACAACCGCAUCAGGUCUCCAAGGUUAGCAGCCUCUGGUCAACUAGAAGAAUGUAGAUAAGGGAAUUCGGCAAAUUAGAUUCGUAACUUCGGAAGAUGGAUUGGCUCUGAGGACAGUGCAGCCCGGUGACCAUGGAAGUCUUUAUUGAAAUCGUCGACUCGAGUACUCGUAUUCGGUUGAUGAUGGAUUUAGAGAAGUCUGUGGAAGCCACUGCAAUUAACUGUUAACUCAGAACUGAAGCGAACAAAUGGAAUCUAACUGUUUAAUAAAAACAUAGCUUUAUGAUGGCCUGAAAAGGUGUUGACAUAAAGUGAUUUCUGCCCAGUGCUCUGAACGUUAAAGUGAAGAAAUUCAACUAUGCGCGGGUAAACGGCGGGAGUACCCUGACUCUCUUAAGGUAGCGAAAUACCUCGUUAAGUAAUUUUUGACGUGCAUGAAAGGAUUAAUGAGAUUCCAACUGUCCCUAUCUACCAUCUAGCGAAACCACAGCUAAGGGAACGGGCUUAGCAAACUCAUUGGAUAAAGAAGACCCUUUCGCGCUUGACUCUAGUCUGACUUUGUGACAUGACAUAUGAGGUGUAGUCUAGGUGGGAGGGGCAACCCGGUUAUGAAAAACCACUACUCAUAGAGUCAUUUUACUAAUUCCGUCAUGUAGUGACAUUUAUGAAAUAAGCGUAAGCGAACUAAGCGGAAGACAUAGUUAGAUGGGGAGUUUGGCUGGGGCGGUACUUCUGUUAAAUAAUAACGCAGGUGUCCUAAGGUAAGCUCAAAGAGAACAGAAAUCUCUUGUAGACCAAAAGGGGAAAAGCUUACUUGAUUCAGAUUUUCAGUAAAAAUAUGAACUGUGAAAGCAUGGCCUAUUGAUCCUUUAACUUUACAAGUUUUAAGCUAGAGGUGUCAGAAAAGUCACCGGAGGGAUAAACAUACAUACAGUCCCAGGCUUCAUUCCAAGAAGUCUAGUCUCUAAGUUAAAAAAGUGGAAGACUUAGAGGCAACAUGUCUGGAUGCUGGAAACUCUUUAGAAUAUCAGUACCAAAUAUAUUGCAUGGAUGACAUUGGUAAUAAUCUGAUAUGUGAGACAAUCAGCAGCCGAUCAGACUAAGGUCUGACGGUUCAACGCUCGGUAAGAUAUGGGUACGAAAGUGCUUAAGGUACGAGCUACUCCCACUGGAAACAGUGCCUCUUCCAGGACCCACAGUCCAAACAAGAGGAGUCGCAGAUAUUCGGAGGAAAUGCCGAAUGGAGACUGGUAUACAGGAACUGACUUGUGGCAGCCAAGCGCCCAUAGCGACGUUGCUUUUUGAUCCUUCGAUGUCGGCUCUUCCUAUCAUUGUGUUGCAGAAGGCACAACGUGUCGGAUUGUUCACCCGCUAAUAGGGAACGUGAGCUGGGUUUAGACCGUCGUGAGACAGGUUAGUUUUUCUUUAAUGAGGAAAU
rnacentral:rRNA from 1 species